AUUGAACGCUGGCGGCAGGCUUAACACAUGCAAGUCGAGCGGGGUGAUGGUGCUUGCACUAUCACUUAGCGGCGGACGGGUGAGUAAUGCUUAGGAAUCUGCCUAUUAGUGGGGGACAACAUCUCGAAAGGGAUGCUAAUACCGCAUACGUUCUACGGGAGAAAGCCGGGGAUCACUUGUGACCUUGCGCUAAUAGAUGAGCCUAGGUCGGAUUAGCUAGUUGGUGGGGUAAAGGCCUACCAAGGCGACGAUCUGUGGCGGGUCUGAGAGGAUGAUCCGCCACACUGGGACUGAGGCACGGCCCAGACUCCUACGGGAGGCAGCAGUGGGGAAUAUUGGACAAUGGGGGGAACCCUGAUCCAGCCAUGCCGCGUGUGUGAAGAAGGCCUUAUGGUUGUAAAGCACUUUAAGCGAGGAGGAGGCUCUUUUGGUUAAUACCCAAGAUGAGUGGACGUUACUCGCAGAAUAAGCACCGGCUAACUCUGUGCCAGCAGCCGCAGUAA
rnacentral:rRNA from 1 species